CUUCAGCUGCUUCUCCUUCUAUUGCGUGCUCUGACGAGCGCACCGCGGGCGUGCUCUAUCUUCGCUGGGAGCGCGCUUCCGCCCGGCUGCAGUCACUCAGCAAUCAACACACCUGUCCGUGAUGAGCGAUCAGCCUUCAUAAGCCAGCACAACCUGAGAUCCGACGCCAGAAUGUAGCUUCACGUACCCAGUGCACUCCCCGUCGUCCUUCCUUGUCGUCGAGUUGUGUGUCUCGUCAUCUUGGAACCCUGUCGAUUUCCCCUUGCCUCCCUGGACAUCGACCUCACGCCUGGCUACCGACCACGACUCCAAGCUCCUGCCCUUGACCAUCCGCCUGUCCUCCGACGCUCGAGCCUGCCUUGCCCUAAUUGGACAUCUGCCUGGAUCUCAAAACGCACUCACAACACCCAACGCUCAGAUAAGUCUCACACUUAGUCACAUUAAAUCUAUUUGGUUUAAUUACACACUGCACCGACAUUCUAAGUUGUCAAUAAACACGCUGACGUCAUCGUC